rnacentral:lncRNA from 1 species
AGAUACGGCAUCAACAUAUAUCCCGGUGCAUAUAGAUCGCUACACAAGAAAGAUAAGAUGAAGCUUCUUUCGUCGUCCUACGGUGAAAAUUUUUCGUUUUUUGGAAAAAAAGUGAACAAGUCGACACAUACGCGAGAGAGAACGGACCCAGAGGAGGGCUAGACGCUGAAAGAAUCUUCGCAUGGCUUGUCUGCGCCGUGUCAGCAGUCGGCAUUUACUCGUCAUAAUAAUUCAACGUAAUGCUUACGUCAAAACAAAAACGUAAAUUAUUUACACGUCAUAGCUCUACGUCAGAGUUAAGCAGAUUAUAGUGAGUACGAGACAUUACCGAAAGCUGAAUACGAUUGUUUGCUCCACUAAACAUUGACUUCUUAUUGUGGAACGGCACAAUGGUAUUUCAUCUUGGGAAUGCGCUCCACUAAACAUUGACUUCUUCUGGAACGGCACUACGGUAUGUUACAUGAUAUUAAUGGCGCAAAUACACUGUGCAAGAUGCUCGAUACAUCGACAUGUCAACGCAAGACGUAUAACAACAAAAGAUUAAUUAUCGUCAGCUGUUAGACGACCAACAAGCACUCUUCAUGUUCUACUGUGUGUUCUGACACUGAAGGCAGCACCCGUAAUCCCCUGGUUCAGUUGCUUGACUAACUCGCCUCCAAUUCCACCUAUGUAACACCGGAAGGCACUCAUCCCUAACGCGAUCACGUCACCGUCUCGUCGAUUCUCGGAUGUUCCCGCGGCGUAAGCACGUUGUAGGAGUGCGGACGCGGCAGCGCAAUGUCGUCCAGCUUGAGUUGCUCCCCAUGUCUUCCGGGGGCCUGCAGAGAGCAUGUGCGUCGCAUACCGGCCGCAGUCGCCGCCGCGCCGCCGCCGUCGCCGCCGAGCCCACUCCAUUCUGGAUGGGACCUUACGAGCGUACAGAGCGGAGGAGUUCCGGGUGAGCGACUUGAGGCUAGGACGUCGGCGUCGUCGGACGUGACACAGCCGUUGCAGGCGGCGGGAGACGAAGCGAAAAAAAGGAAGUUCGCAGGUUGCUGUUGCGCAGUCCGUACACCGUGGCAGCAGUAAGCGGCGCGGCGUGCAGAAGCACCGCAGCCGUGGACGCAAGAAGACCCGCAGGAGGAACUUCCGUGAUGGCCUGGUGAAACAGCAGCGCCGCCCACGGGACGUAGCUGGCCACGCAGGAGCCGACCAGCUGAACGAUGGUAGCCAUGGCUCGCGUUCCGCGAAGCCGCAUAACGCUGCUGGCCGAACGCGCCGGAGGCGGAGCGAUCGGCGCCUGGAUGAGCGUGACCAUGCGGAGCAUAGUGGCGGCGAUACGCGAGCUUUGCGCGCGCGCGAUGCGGAAGAUGUGGGCGUAGCAGUAGAGCAUCAGCGCCAGCGGCGCUACCACGCCCAGCAGCACCACCAGCAGGGAGUGCCAACGCCCGGGUGCGCUGCCGGCGUGCAGGCUGCACAUCCACAGGGCCGGAACGAAGCGGUAAUCUCCACCUCCCAUCACGGGGGGCAGCGCCAAGGCCGCGGCCACCCCCCACAAGGAAGCCAGCCACGCCGUCAUGGUCAGUCGCUUGGCCACAAGCGGGUGGUGCAGAGGGGGCAGCGAUAGCUCGGUGCUUGUCCCAGGCCAGGGCUGCCACCGUCCACACCCCGGCCGAGGUCAGAAGGACGCCGGCCACCCCGACAGCAGUGCACCAACCGCCUUGAAGUCCCCUGACAUCUUCCAGCAGGUUGCUAGUCUCUUCCAACGCUAUGUCACUCUCCAAGAAACCAACUGGGGCCUCCCUGAGGACAUUGUGCGAUUCGGAGAGGCCCGGCAUGCUGGCGGUCACUGUGGAGACGAUCUUGACGUCGGAAGAGACGUCCCGAGUGUGCGGAGUGUAGCUGACAGCAAACACGAGCUGCAAGACGCCGGCUGGAAGAGUCAGAACGAGGGAAGUCACCAGCCCGACAAAGCCCAGGUGGACGAGCAGCACUUGCCGCACGGAGCGCAUGCGCGGGUUGGGGAGGAUGGCCAGCAGCAGGAAGAGGUUCAUGCAGAUGCCCAGCAGCGCGAUGGCCACCAGCAGUGCUCCCUGAACCACGUCGCCGCUGACCUUGGGGCUGGCUGCCUCCACAGUGUGGCUGGUCCAGUUGUCCGGCAGGAUCGCCGACAGCAGGGAGUCGUUCAGAGGAGCCAUCUACAAGCUAAGCGCGGGAGAAGGAGGUCUGGAGGCUGUGACGUCAGGGCGAGGAAACCACUCGCCGCACACUGAGGGGCUCCGAAGCACAGGCUGUCGCCGUGGCUGACGUGCAUAGGAAUAAUACUGUGAAAGGAAAUGAAAAUAAUUGUAAUGACAGUUUUUGACUUUAUGAGUACUAUCUUGGAAAGAUUACAUGUGCAAAACCGGCCAAUCGCUCGUUAAUUUACGCAAUCUAUUGAUAUUGUUUAUAUUAAAUAAUAAUUAUUAUUGUGUGUGUACACGUAAGUAAAAUCUACCAAAUACCAU